GGCGGCUUUACCAUUGCAGUCGAGCGGGGGAGGUAGCUUGCUACCGGACCUAGCGGCGGACGGGUGAGUAAUGCUUAGGAAUCUGCCUAUUAGUGGGGGACAACAUCUCGAAAGGGAUGCUAAUACCGCAUACGUCCUACGGGAGAAAGCAGGGGAUCUUCGGACCUUGCGCUAAUAGAUGAGCCUAAGUCGGAUUAGCUAGUUGGUGGGGUAAAGGCCUACCAAGGCGACGAUCUGUAGCGGGUCUGAGAGGAUGAUCCGCCACACUGGGACUGAGACACGGCCCAGACUCCUACGGGAGGCAGCAGUGGGGAAUAUUGGACAAUGGGCGCAAGCCUGAUCCAGCCAUGCCGCGUGUGUGAAGAAGGCCUUAUGGUUGUAAAGCACUUUAAGCGAGGAGGAGGCUACUUUAGAUAAUACCUAGAGAUAGUGGACGUUACUCGCAGAAUAAGCACCGGCUAACUCUGUGCCAGCAGCCGCGGUAAUACAGAGGGUGCAAGCGUUAAUCGGAUUUACUGGGCGUAAAGCGCGCGUAGGCGGCUAAUUAAGUCAAAUGUGAAAUCCCCGAGCUUAACUUGGGAAUUGCAUUCGAUACUGGUUAGCUAGAGUGUGGGAGAGGAUGGUAGAAUUCCAGGUGUAGCGGUGAAAUGCGUAGAGAUCUGGAGGAAUACCGAUGGCGAAGGCAGCCAUCUGGCCUAACACUGACGCUGAGGUGCGAAAGCAUGGGGAGCAAACAGGAUUAG
rnacentral:rRNA from 1 species